rnacentral:rRNA from 1 species
UACGUAGGGUGCGAGCGUUGUCCGGAAUUAUUGGGCGUAAAGAGCUCGUAGGCGGUUUGUUGCGUUGGCUGUGAAAUCCCGAGGCUCAACCUCGGGUCUGCAGUCGAUACGAGCAAACUAGAGUGUUGCAGGGGAGACUGGAAUUCCUGGUGUAGCGGUGAAAUGCGCAGAUAUCAGGAGGAACACCGGUGGCGAAGGCGGGUCUCUGGGCAACAACUGACGCUGAGGAGCGAAAGCGUGGGGAGCGAACAGG